rnacentral:rRNA from 1 species
UGGUGGAGUGAUUCGUCUGGUUAAUUCCGUUAACGAACGAGACCUCAACCUGCUAAAUAGUCCGCGGCAUCCUUCGGGAUGCGCGAGGGACUUCUUAGAGGGACUAUCGGUGUUUAGCCGAUGGAAGUUUGAGGCAAUAACA